GUCUCUACCAUGUGAGGACACAGUGAGAAGGCAGCUAUUUGCAAGCCAGGAAGAGAGCCAUCACCAAGAACUGAAUCUGCCAGCCCCUUCAUCUUGGAUUUCCCAGCCUCCAAAACUAGUGCAGACAUGAGUCCAGCAAGCAGUACCACGUCACUUCCUGUUAGUCCUCUUACUGAAGAGCCAGUGCCUUUCAAGAAUAUUCAGCAUUAUAUCAACUGUACACACAUAUGGUCUGACACAUGCCACUGCAUCAUUAUAGAAGAGCCAAAGGAUAACCAAUUUUGCAUAGACCACAUACCCUAGGGAAUUCUGAAAACCUGACUAACAUCAAUUGAAGAUUGGGGUUCAGGAGGCCUAGAUGAUCCACCAUGACUUAUUCAAAAGUUGAAGAUGAAAGGAAAGAAUAAAGACUCUUUCCAUCCAGUUCUCUAGUCUGAAAGGAAAAGAAAUAGGCAAAGGACAGUAGGCUUUUCUAUAUCAUUAUAUUCAUUCAAAUGAUUCUCUUAAAAUAAUAAUGAACUAAGGAGGCUCUGUAAGCAAGACAAACGGUCAGGAGGCCUCCUUGCUCCAAGAAUACUCCCUUUUUACUUUAUUAAAAUGGUUUGUAAAGGUAAACUAA
rnacentral:lncRNA from 10 species